rnacentral:ncRNA from 1 species
CACUCUGGAAAGUAGUCGCGUACCUAGGUCACGACUCACCGAAGGUGUAAGCCGGCGGAGCCGGUGACACUCUCAGGUUCCACGACAGAGCGGGGA